GAUGAAGAACGCAGCGAAAUGCGAUAAGUAGUGUGAAUUGCAGAAUUCAGUGAAUCAUCGAAUCUUUGAACGCACAUUGCGCCCCUCGGUAUUCCGUGGGGCAUGCCUGUUCGAGCGUCAUUUAACCCCUCAAGCCUAGCUUGGUAUUGGGUGCUUGUCCCGCCUCUCGCGCGGCGACUCACCUCAAAGUCAUUGGCAGCCCGCAUCUCGCCGGCCGUGAGCGCAGCACAGACGCGCUCUUGGCAACGACGGAUCGGCUCUCCAAAAGCUUAUUUCAACCACUGACCUCGGAUCAGGUAGGGAUACCCGCUGAACUUAAGCAUAUCAAUAAGAGGAGGA
rnacentral:misc_RNA from 1 species